CUCAGCGCCCGCGCGGGACGGAGUGACCCUGGCAACUUCUCCAAGUCGGCCGGCGCCGCCCCGCGUGACCCCGGGACCCCGCGGGAACGGCCGUGUCGCCGGUUCGGGCCCGGGCGGGUGCCGGGCGCUCCACCCAGGGCUUUGUGCUUGAAUUACGGACACCUCUUCAGCCUGCUCGUUCCGGGUGAAUGAAUGAAUGAUUACACCAGGUGUGGUCCACACUUCCUCUGGGGGAUCAUUUCAUGGACUCACUCCUCUCACUUGCUAACCAUGCUGCCUUGCUCCCAGGACCCUGUCAAGUCGACUGACCAUUAAUCUCCCUCAGCGCACAGACCAGACUGCAGGUUAAAAUGGGGAACUCCGAGAGUCAGUACACCCUUCAAGGAUCUAAGAAUCAUAGCAAUACUAUUACUGGUGCUAAGCAAAAGCCUUGCUCCCUGAAAAUCCGUGGCCUUCAUGCAAAGGAUGACAAGUCAUUGCACGGAUGGGGUCACGGAAGCAGCGGAGCCGGGUACAAGUCCAGGUCGCUGGCCCGAAGCUGCCUUUCUCACUUCAAGAGCAAUCAGCCUUAUGCAUCGCGACCGGGUGGCCCUUCGUGUAAAGUCUCCAAAGGCAGUGCCUACUCCAAGCACAGGACAAAUGCCUCGGCAUCGGAUUUCCAGGGCAACGAUGCUGCUUUCUCCUCCGAGAACGGCUUCCACUACGUCGGACACCCACCGGCGGAUAACCACGCGGCCUCGAGGGACUGCAAUGGGCACCUUCUCAACUGCUACAGCAGGGACCAGAGCGUCGCGUCCACCCCUCCCGGCGAGGACCGCAAGAGCCCCAGGGUGCUUAUCAAGACACUGGGCAAGCUGGACGGGUGCCUCCGGGUGGAAUUCCACAGCGGCGGCCAGCACAGCGCCGCGGCCCCGGGGGGCUCGGGCGGCCCCGUGCAGCUCCUGCGCUACUCGGCCGGCGCCCCGCCCAGCCCGCGCGCCUCCCCCGCCGCCACGGCCGCCGCCGCCGCCGCCACCGUCGCGCGCCCGCGCUCCAGCAAGGGCAGCUCACUCAGCUCCGAGUCCUCCUGGUACGACUCGCCCUGGGGCCCGGCCGGCGAGGUCAGCGAGGCCGAGGGCUCCUUCGCGGCGCCCGGCACACCGGAGCCCGAGCCCGGCCUCCACGCCGGCUUCCCGCCCAGGGAUGCUCCAAAGCCUUUCAGCCAAAGCGCCUCUCUCUCGUCCCUCCGGGAACCCUACCCGGACGCCACCCUGGGGAGCCUGGCACCCGCGGCCCUGCGGCUCUCCGACGACUACAUGGGCACGCGCGCCAGCCUCAGCGCCCGCGUCUCCUUCGCCUCCGACAUAGACGUGCCGGCCCGCGUGGAGCGCGGGGAGCCCGGGCAGUUCGCCUCCUUCACCCUUCCCUGCCGCAAGUCCAGGGCCCUGAGCGAGGAGCCCUCCAAGAAGGACACCCUGAAAGCCAGGAUGCGCCGCAUCAGCGACUGGACGGGAAGCCUCUCCAGAAAGAAAAGAAGACUCCAGGAGCCGAGAUCCAAGGAGGGCAGUGACUACUUUGACAGUCGCUCGGAUGGGCUGAACGUGGACGUGCAGGGGCCCUCCCAGGCAUCUGCAUCCCUGUGGUCAGGGGGCUCGGCUCAGAUCCUGUCCCACAGAAGCGAAUCCGCUCACGCGAUCGGCAGCGAUCCCCUCCAACAGAACAUUUACGAGAAUUUCAUGCGAGAGCUGGAAAUGAGCAGGACCAACACGGAGACCCUCGAAACGUCCACAGAGACCGCCGAAUCCAGCAGCGAUUCGCUCAGCUCUUUGGAGCAACUGGACCUGCUCUUUGAGAAGGAACAGGGGGUGGUGCGCAAAGCCGGGUGGCUCUUCUUCAAACCCCUCGUCACUCUGCAGAAGGAAAGGAAGCUGGAGCUGGUGGCUCGGAGGAAAUGGAAACAGUACUGGGUGACACUUAAAGGAUGCACCCUGCUGUUUUAUGAGACCUACGGGAAGAAUUCCAUGGAUCAGAGUAGUGCCCCUCGGUGUGCCCUGUUUGCAGAAGACAGCAUAGUGCAGGCCGUCCCAGAACAUCCUAAGAAGGAAAAUGUCUUCUGCCUCAGCAACUCCUUUGGAGAUGUCUACCUUUUCCAGGCCACCAGCCAGACAGAUCUGGAGAACUGGGUCACUGCCAUCCACUCGGCCUGCGCAUCCCUUUUCGCAAAGAAGCACGGCAAAGAGGACACAGUUCGGCUGCUGAAGAACCAGACCAGAAACCUCGUUCAGAAGAUAGAUAUGGACAGCAAGAUGAAGAAGAUGGCGGAGUUACAGCUGUCCGUGGUGAGCGACCCAAAGAACCGGAAAGCCAUAGAAAACCAGAUCCAGCAGUGGGAGCAGAACCUGGAGAAAUUUCACAUGGAUCUGUUCAGGAUGCGCUGCUAUCUGGCCAGCCUGCAAGGCGGGGAGUUGCCGAACCCCAAGAGCCUCCUUGCUGCUGCCAGCCGCCCCUCCAAGCUGGCCCUGGGCCGGUUGGGCGUCUUGUCAGUUUCCUCUUUCCACGCUCUGGUAUGUUCUAGAGAUGACUCUGCUCUCCGGAAAAGGACACUCUCACUGACCCAGCGAGGAAGACACAAGAAGGGCUUAUUUUCUUCAUUAAAAGGGCUGGACACGCUCGCAAGAAAAGGAAAGGAGAAAAGACCGUCUAUAACCCAGAUAUUUGAUUCAAGUGGCAGCCAUGGAUUUUCUGGAACUCAGCUACCUCAAAGCUCCAAUAACUCCAGUGAGGUGGAUGACCUGCUGCACAUAUACGGGUCAGCAGUAGACCGUGUUCCCCGAGACGGCUCAUGGGAGAGCCAGACGGACGUUCAGUUUCAGGACCAUCAAGCCGUGACCGUGAUGAUCAAGCCGGAACACAGAGUAGAAGAUAUUCUGACCUUGGCGUGCAAGAUGAGGCAGUUGGAACCUAGCCACUAUGGCCUACAGCUUCGAAAAUUAGUGGAUGAGAACGUUGAGUACAGUAUUCCUGCACCGUAUGAAUACAUGCAAGAGCAGGUUUAUGAUGAAAUAGAAGUCUUUCCACUAAAUGUUUAUGACGUGCAGCUCACAAAGACCGGGGGUGUGUCUGACUUCGGCUUCGCAGUGACUGCGCAGGUGGACGGGCAUCAGCACCUCAGCCGCAUUUUUAUAAGCGAUGUUCUCCCGGGUGGCCCGGCAUAUGGGGAAGGGCUGAGAAAGGGCAAUGAAAUCAUGACCUUAAAUGGGGAAGCUGUGUCUGAUCUUGACCUCAAGCAGAUGGAGGCCCUGUUUUCUGAGAAGAGUGUCGAGCUCACUCUGAUCGCCAGGCUGCCGGACACAAGAGCAACUCUGUGUUCUUCCUGGUCAGACAGUGACCUGUUCUCAAGGGACCAGAAGGGUCUGCUGCCCCCUCCUAACCAGUCCCAACUCCUGGAGGAAUUCCUGGAUAACUUUAAAAAGGAUACGGCAAACGAUUUCAGCAAUGUCCCUGACAUCACAACUGGCCUGAAAAGGAGUCAGACUGAUGGCACGCUGGACCAGGUUUCCCACAGGGAGAAGAAGGAGCAGACCUUCAGGAGUGCUGAGCAGAUCGCCGCGCUCUGUAGGAGUUAUAACGACACCCAGACCAACGGCAUGGAAGGACCAAGGGAGAGUCAGGACCCGCCUCCGAGGCCGCUGGCUCGCCACCUCUCGGAUGCAGAUCGCCUCCGAAAAGUCAUCCAGGAGCUCAUGGACACAGAGAAGUCCUAUGUGAAGGAUCUGAGCUGCCUCUUUGACUUAUACCUGGAACCACUUCAAAGUGAGACCUUUCUUACCCAGGAUGAGAUGGAGUCACUUUUUGGAAGUUUGCCAGAGAUGCUUGACUUUCAAAAGGUAUUUCUGGAGACUCUGGAGGAUGGGAUUUCAGCAUCGGCUGACUUUAACAUACUUGAAACCCCCUCGCAGUUCAGAAAACUACUGUUUUCCCUCGGAGGCUCUUUCCUUUAUUACGCGGACCACUUUAAACUCUAUAGCGGAUUCUGUGCUAAUCAUAUUAAAGUACAGAAGGUUCUAGAGAGGGCUAAAACUGAUAAAGCCUUCAAGGCUUUUCUGGACGCCCGGAACCCCACCAAGCAGCAUUCCUCCACUCUGGAGUCUUACCUCAUUAAGCCCGUUCAGAGGGUGCUCAAGUACCCACUGCUGCUCAAGGAGCUCGUGUCCCUGACAGACCACGAGAGCGAAGAGCACUACCACCUGACAGAAGCCCUGAAGGCAAUGGAGACAGUAGCGAGUCACAUCAACGAGAUGCAGAAGAUACACGAGGAUUACGGGACGGUGUUCGACCAGCUGGUGGCAGAGCAGAGCGGAACAGAGAAGGAGGUCACAGAACUUUCAAUGGGGGAACUUCUGAUGCACUCUACAGUGUCCUGGUUGAAUCCAUUUCUGUCUCUAGGAAAAGCCAGAAAGGACCUCGAGCUCACAGUAUUCGUUUUUAAGAGAGCCGUCAUAUUGGUUUAUAAAGAAAACUGCAAACUGAAAAAGAAAUUGCCGUCGAACUCCCGGCCGGCACACAACUCUGCUGACCUGGAUCCGUUUAAGUUUCGCUGGUUGAUCCCCAUAUCCGCGCUUCAAGUCAGACUGGGGAAUACAGCAGGGACAGAAAAUAAUUCCUUAUGGGAGCUGAUCCACACCAAGUCAGAAAUAGAAGGACGGCCAGAAACCAUCUUUCAGUUGUGCUGCAGUGACAACGAAAGCAAAACCAACAUUGUCAAGGUGAUUCGAUCUAUUCUGAGGGAGAACUUCAGGCGUCACAUAAAGUGUGAAUUACCUCUGGAGAAAACAUGUAAAGAUCGCCUGGUACCCCUCAAGAACCGCGUUCCUGUCUCAGCCAAAUUAGCUUCAUCCAGGUCCUUAAAAGUCCUUAAGAAUUCCUCCAGCAGCGAGUGGCCCGGGGAGCCGGGCAAGGGCAGCUCGCUGGACUCGGAUGAGGGCAGCCUGAGCAGUGGCACCCAGAGCAGCGGCUGCCCCCCGGCCGGGAGCAGACAGGACGCCCAGAAACACCCCCACGAGGGCCUGGCCGACUUCUCCGACAGUCUCAUCAAAGAGAGCGACAUUCUGAGCGACGACGACGAGGACGACCACCAGGCUGGGAAGCAGGGCAGCCCUACCACAGACAUCGAGAUCCAGUUCCAGAGACUGAGGAUCUCGGAGGACCCGGACGCCCGGCCAGCUCAGCAGCCGCCCGGCAAGGACGGGCAGCCCAAGCUGGUCCGGGGGCACUUCUGCGCCAUCAAACGCAAAGCCAACAGCACCAAGAGGGACAGGGGAACUCUGCUGAAGGCGCAGAUGCGUCACCAGUCCCUGGACAGUCAAUCGGAAAAUGCCAACCUUGAUCUCAGCUCCGUUCUCGAGCGAGAAUUCAGCGUCCAGAGCUUAACGUCGGUUGUCAACGAGGAGUGUUUUUAUGAAACAGAGAGCCAUGGAAAGGCAUAAUACAGCUGUAAAAGGGGAAUAAGUCACACCUGGGGAGCACACAUAGGAGAAGUUCAACUCUGUGAACAUCAACAUCCAGUCGGCUGCCAGCCCCUGACGUAGCAGCUACAGUCUGUAGCUCUCCUUGCCAUCCCCUUUUGCUUGAGUUCUUCUCUGAAAUUGUAAGCAAAGAGGUGUGGGUCUUCAUCACACAUUUUUCGGUAUGCGUCACAGAGGCUCUUAAAAUGUAUGACAGAGAGCUGGGUGGGUCGAAGAGUAGGGUCCACAUCGGCCAACUGUAACAGUUUCCCAGUGCUUUCUAAUCGCUGGGCUUCAGGGAAUAACAUUCUGAAAGGAAGAGAAAAAUGUGAGAAUUCUACUUAAAAUUCUGCCCAUCAUCAUGCUUCCUUCUACCCUCAUUUGAAACCGGCAUGGUUCUGACAACUGACAACUUUGCAGAGGCUUUUCUUCCACCCCCUAGAGCCCUGCAGGACCCCGAGCCAGUGGAGGACUCUGCUUACGCCACCAGGCAACAGGUACGAACCACCACUGAAGGCACAGCUAAUCGGACCUGCACGGUGUGUCCACAUGAGAAAGGAGUUUCUAAAGCUCAAUCAAUACGUGUAUCUUGAAGUCUCAGAGGGCUCGGAAGACAUCGUGGCGAGAGGACACUGACUUUUUCUUACAGGCUGAUGGUCCCCGCAACCAGGAGCUGCGUGUCCCUACAUUCUCAGGGUUGGAGGGAAAAUACUGGCAUGUGACGUGAGACCGUGUGGACGAGACGGACCAAAGAUGGCCAACCGGGACGGGCUUCCAGAGGUGUGAGUGGCGUUUCUCCUGCGGGGUCUGAGCUGCCUCACCACGAGCUGCCCCACCAGACCUCUGCCCCAUCGUCAGUCACUGAGGCUGGCAAAUGCUGGGAAUGUUCUAAGCAGUCGAGUGAAAACCGCCAAUGGAGAGGACUUUCCGCCUGAAAAUGCUCCCCGAAAUGUCCCUCAGCCUUCAGACUAUUUUAGCGACAAUUAUACACCUUUGGUGGAAGAGCUGUUAUUCCACUGCAGAGAGUGACCAUCUCAAUGUUCUUAUUAAACUUUAAUAGUUUUUCAAAUUGUG